rnacentral:rRNA from 1 species
UAGGGAAUCUUCCGCAAUGUACGAAAGUCUGACGGAGCAACGCCGCGUGAGUGAAGAAGGAUUUCGGUUCGUAAAACUCUGUUGUUAGGGAAGAAAAAAUGUAUAGUAACUAUAUACAAAAGAGACGGUACCUAACCAGAAAGCCACGGCUAACUACGUGCCAGCAGCCGCGGUAAUACGUAGGGGGCUAGCGUUAUCCGGAUUUACUGGGCGUAAAGGGUGCGUAGGUGGUCCUUCAAGUCGGUGGUUAAAGGCUACGGCUCAACCGUAGUAAGCCGCCGAAACUGGAGGACUUGAGUGCAGGAGAGGAAAGUGGAAUUCCCAGUGUAGCGGUGAAAUGCGUAGAUAUUGGGAGGAACACCAGUAGCGAAGGCGGCUUUCUGGACUGCAACUGACACUGAGGCACGAAAGCGUGGGUAGCAAACAGG